rnacentral:misc_RNA from 1 species
UUCUCUUGCAAAUGAAUUCAAGAAUCGAGCCCCAGUGCAGCUAUUAAAAAGAAUAGGCCUAUUUGUUGUCGCUGGUUGUCGCUGAGAUUCGAACGAGGGAGGGAGGUCUGAAAUUCGCAGUGAAACGGUAGUAACCGUCAGUAACCGUAAUUCAGUCAAACCAGAACUCGGUGACUCACACUAGUCACACUCGAUAAUAUUCGACUAAUGGUUCGGCUCAUUCGGAACAUUGCAGUUAUGCUUAUUGUAAAAAAAUAAUAAUCAUCAUGACCUUCUGUAUGGUAUUUGGUUGUAAAAAUCGCCCCGAUCACAAGAAUUAUGAACAAUUAGAAGAAGAAAAAACUACAAACAAAAAAUUCUCAUUCCACUUUUAUCUGAAGAGAGAAUUGCCUGCAUAAAAAAACAUCGGAAAGAUAACUCAUUGAUUAUUGUAGAAAAUACAGAAAUGUAUAAAGCAGGAACAAGUAAUAGUAUUAUAUCUAUUGAAGUUUGUGCUGAAAUUCCGACUGAAGUUCCAACAUGUAAAAUGAUGGAUCAUUCUACAAGCAUCUCUCCUGAAAGAAUAUUCAACUCGCCAAUAAGGGUCCAAUUACGACAGAAUCACGCAAGUAAAAUUAAAUCUAAAAAAAAAAAACUGUUAGGACAAUUAUAACGAGAAAAAAAUGCGGACAAAACUUCAAUCAUUGAAAAGCAUUCUAAAGAAUCUGCAAAAACAGCAUCUUAUAACAGAUAAAAGUAAUAUAUUACAACAUAUGAAAAAAGGUAUGAAAGAAUUAGUUAAACAAGAAAUAAGAA